rnacentral:snRNA from 1 species
AGAUUUGCUCAGUGGCACUAUUAUAGCCAGAGGCGUGAUUAUUGCUAAUUGAAAACUUUUACCAAUACCCUGCCAUGAUGACUUGAAAUACAGUCAGCCUUGGCAAUUUUUGAAUCUCUAUGGAAUAAAGA